rnacentral:lncRNA from 1 species
UGCUGAAUCUCUCGGUUAAGAGAGAUCUGUUUGAACAGCGCCGAUUUCAGAUCCUCCAAUUGAUUUGGAUCGGAAUAUGACGCAUUGUGCUGAAAAGUUCGAUUCCAAGCGGUUAAGAGCCCUAGUUGCUGCUCCCGCAAGAGGUUAAUGGCGCGCAAUUCAGAUUCCUUCAUUUGACCGGAGAGAUAAUCGGAGGAGAAGCUGGCGAUAGGGCCAUGGCGAAUUUCGGUGAUAGAGAAGAAGAGAACGACGGCGAUGACGACGAGGAUCAAGAAAAUGUACCUCUUCCGGAGCUGGAAUCGCCGAGAGCUCGAGCUGAUAUCUUCGACGUGGAAAGCGGCGGCGCCGGCGGUGGUGGAGGUGGAGGGAAGAGUGGGAGGCUUUCUAACGUUUUGGUCGAUGAGGUUGUGGCGGUCGUCUUCGUCGUCGGAAGACGAAUCCAUGUGGUUUAGUUUGUUAGCCACAGCGGCAGUGUGAUGAAGAAGCGAGUGAAGGAGUCAGUGAGUGAGUAGCAGUAGCAGAAAUGGUAGAGCCAAAGAGGUUGCAGUUGCAGAAGAUCCAGCCAUGUGAGUGAGCCAGAGAGCGAGUGAGUGAAUCGUUGGUGAGUCACUGAGUCGAUUUGUCGGUGAAAGUGACUCGGUUUAGUGAGUAAGUGGCGGUUAGCGAGAAGAGGAGGGACACGGAUUAGGUGCGCAACCUAUGUUUUGUCACCGAAGCGCCCAAAACAAUUUUGACGCACCACUGCACCAGUGCGCUCAAAAAGAAUUGUAUAUUUGUAUGUAAUAUACUUUAUUUUUUGGGUAUUCGGUUAUUUAUAACAAUAUCUAUAAUCUAUAAUAUCUAUAUCUAUAAUUCUAUAAUAAUAUAUAAUGCCAGCAAGCAAGAAUUUACCAUCUUUAGGGUUCCAAUCAAUGGUUUUUCUCUGUGAGAAGUUCUGAUCCACUGUUCUACACCUAUUGUAACUAACUCCACCGAACAAAUUAGGAUUUCUAAAAUCGAAAUCAGGCUCAUUUGUGUUACCUGUUCGAUGCGGAUUCAGCAGAACCUGCUGAAUCUCUCGGUUAAGAGAGAUCUGUUUGAACAGCGCCGAUUUCAGAUCCUCCAAUUGAUUUGGAUCGGAAUAUGACGCAUUGUGCUGAAAAGUUCGAUUCCAAGCGGUUAAGAGCCCUAGUUGCUGCUCCCGCAAGAGGUUAAUGGCGCGCAAUUCAGAUUCCUUCAUUUGACCGGAGAGAUAAUCGGAGGAGAAGCUGGCGAUAGGGCCAUGGCGAAUUUCGGUGAUAGAGAAGAAGAGAACGACGGCGAUGACGACGAGGAUCAAGAAAAUGUACCUCUUCCG